rnacentral:misc_RNA from 1 species
ACACCUCAACUCCCGUGGUUCGCCACGGUGAGCUUGGACUCUGGGGGUUUUGCUGGCCUGUGGUCGGCUCCUCUCAAAUGAAUUAGCCUGCCAGUGUUUGGUGGCGUCACGGGUGUGAUAAAUAUCUACGCUUGCGAUUGCCCACCAGGUAACCUUCAGCAAUGAGGGUUCACUGGGGCUCAUAGACGUCUCUCCCUCAGCGAGGACAGUUUUUAAC